GCGUAUGGGGAAUGCCUAGGCUCUCAGAGACUACGAAAGACGUGAUAAGCUGCGAAAAGCUGCGGGGAGGUGCAAAUAACCUUUGAUCCGUGGAUGUCUGAAUGGGGAAACCCACAUGGUUGAAGACCAUGUACCUAUUUAUAGGAGAAAACCCAGGGAACUGAAACAUCUAAGUACCUGGAGGAAGAGAAAACAAUUGUGAUUCCCCAAGUAGUGGCGAGCGAACGGGGAACAGCCCAAACCACAUCGAUUAAGGUCGGCGUGGGGUUGUAGGACUGCAAUGUGGACUAUAAAUUGAUAAUGGAACUUUUUGGAAAAUUAGGCCAUAGAGGGUGAUAGCCCCGUACAUGAAAUCGAUUUAUUACCUAGCAGUAUCCUGAGUAGAGCGGGACCGGAGAAAUCCUGCUUGAAUCCACCGGCACCAUCCGGUAAGGCUAAAUACUCCUGAGAGACCGAUAGCGAACUAGUACCGUGAGGGAAAGGUGAAA
rnacentral:rRNA from 1 species